rnacentral:rRNA from 1 species
AGUGAACGCUGGCGGUAGGCCUAACACAUGCAAGUCGAACGGACGCACAGUAAGCGCUUUCUCUUACGGGUGGCGAGUGGCGGGCGGGUGAGGAAUACAUCGGCAUCUACUUUUUCGUGGGUGAUAACGUGAGGACACUUCCACUAAUACCUCAUACGACCUACGGCUGAGAGCAGGGGUUCUUCGGACCUUUCGCGAUUGAAUUAGCCGAUGUCGGAUUAGCUAGUUGGCGGGGUAAAGGCCCACCAAGGCAACGAUCCGUAGCUGGUCUGAGAGGAUGAUCGGCCACACUGGAACUGAGACACGGUCCAGACUCCUACGGGAGGCAGCAGUGGGGAAUAUUGGGCAAUGGGCGCAAGCCUGAUGCAGCAAUGCCGCGUGGGUGAAGAAGGCCUUCGGGUCGUAAAGCUCUGUUGUUGGGAAAGAAAAGCAGCAGGUGAAUCCCCCGCUGUUCUGACGGUACCCAAAGAAUAAGCACCGGCUAACUUCGUG